GCUACCCUUAAGAUGUGAUAAAGCCCAGCUGGGAGGCAAACUAAGAGGUUUAGGAGAACUGGAGAAUCUGGGUUCCCUGAUCCAUGGAAGGUGCAAGACUUAAGUUAGUCAAGAGAACAGCUCCAAAACCCUGGAGGAGAUGGAGUCAAGCUCAAGUCCUGAGACUUUCUGGGCUGGGACUAGCUGCUCCAAGAAGCAAUCAUGAAUGGGGUCUAGAAACUUUAUCUCCACAUCCUGUCCUGAGCGUGACAAGUACCCCAUCAAUAUCGGGAACAAUAACAUCAGAAUGAUACUGGAGUUAGUUUGGAACUGUUAUGACUGAUUCCUAUGUUUACUGAAUGUCUGAUUAAACUCAAUAGAGGACUGAAAUUACUAGUCUUUCUUCAGUGUAAUUACGUGUAGUUUUGCUCAUCCAAAGCCCCACAUAUAACCUCUUUUGUUGCUGAGGUUGCUAGAGAACAGUUUCUGAGGACUGAUCCAUCAUGCAAGCAACUGCAAUUAGUUUGGCUGUGAAAGAUUGUCUGGGGU